ensembl:snRNA U4 U4 spliceosomal RNA
AGCUUUGCUAGGCGGCAGUAUCAUAGCCAGUGAAGUUUAUCUGAGGCGUGAUUAUUGCUAAUCAAAAUGGAAAAACUUACAAAUUGGAAAAGUUCAGAAAACUUGUCAGACUCUCCCAGGAGU